UCGAGAAAAAAGGAUGAAAGAAAAACUAAUCGAAGAUUGGAAAAGAGAUUGGAUAUAACAGAAUGGCCAAACAAGUUCCAGUUUUAAUCGGUUGAGUGUAUACUGUUCUAAACAAAAUUGACAGCUGUUCCAUUAAAUCAUGAUUGAAUUUCCAGAUUCAUAUAUUAAUUAUUAUUCCGUGAUAUUGCAGCAGAUCGAGAUUGGUUCUUUGAAAAUAUUUUCUCGUGAACAAGUUAACAUUCGAUUAAAUUUCGUUCCGGAGAUUCAAAAAUCAUUUUUAGAAAAUAAUUAUUUGUGAAAUUACCUUGUCACAGAUAUUUCACUUUUGUAACAAAAUUUUUUUUCGAGGUGAAACGUAAAAAGGAAAAAAGAAAAGAAUAAAGAAUUGAAAAAAUUUUA